rnacentral:rRNA from 1 species
AUUGAACGCUGGCGGCAGGCUUAACACAUGCAAGUCGAGCGGAGAUGAGGUGCUUGCACCUUAUCUUAGCGGCGGACGGGUGAGUAAUGCUUAGGAAUCUGCCUAUUAGUGGGGGACAACAUUCCGAAAGGAAUGCUAAUACCGCAUACGUCCUACGGGAGAAAGCAGGGGCUCUUCGGACCUGGCGCUAAUAGAUGAGCCUAAGUCGGAUUAGCUAGUUGGUGGGGUAAAGGCCUACCAAGGCGACGAUCUGUAGCGGGUCUGAGAGGAUGAUCCGCCACACUGGGACUGAGACACGGCCCAGACUCCUACGGGAGGCAGCAGUGGGGAAUAUUGGACAAUGGGGGAAACCCUGAUCCAGCCAUGCCGCGUGUGUGAAGAAGGCCUUAUGGUUGUAAAGCACUUUAAGCGAGGAGGAGGCUACUGAGACUAAUACUCUUGGAUAGUGGACGUUACUCGCAGAAUAAGCACCGGCUAACUCUGUGCCAGCCGCCGCUGUAA